UACGUAGGGGGCGAGCGUUUAUCCGGAAUUACUGGGCGUAAAGCGCACGCAGGCGGUUCGCCAAGUUUGGAGUGACAGUUGUCGGCUCAACCGACAAAGGACUUUCAAAAACUGGUGAACUUGAGGACGAGAGAGGAACAUGGAACUCCAGGUGUAGUAGUGAAAUGCGUAGAUAUCUGGAAGAACACCAAUGGCGAAGGCAAUGUUCUGGCUCGUUUCUGACGCUCAGGUGCGAAAGCCAGGGGAGCGAACGGG
rnacentral:rRNA from 1 species